rnacentral:rRNA from 1 species
UAGUCCACGCCGUAAACGAUGUCAACUAGCCGUUGGGAGCAAUUAAGCUCUUAGUGGCGCAGCUAACGCGAUAAGUUGACCGCCUGGGGAGUACGCCGGCAACGGUAAAACUCAAAUGAAUUGACGGGGGCCCGCACAAGCGGUGGAGCAUGUGGUUUAAUUCGAUGCAACGCGAAAAACCUUACCUACCCUUGACAUCCUCAGAACUUGUUAGAGAUAACUUGGUGCCUUCGGGAACUGAGUGACAGGUGCUGCAUGGCUGUCGUCAGCUCGUGUCGUGAGAUGUUGGGUUAAGUCCCGCAACGAGCGCAACCCUUGUCCCUAGUUGCCAGCACGUAAUGGUGGGGACUCUAAGGAGACUGCCUCCGCAAGGAGUGAGGAAGGCGGGGAUGACGUCAAAUCAUCAUGGCCCUUACGCCCAGGGCGACACACGUGCUACAAUGGACGGUACAAUGGGUAGCGACACGGCGACGUGAAGCCAAUCUCUAAAAGCCGUUCUCAGUUCGGAUCGG